AGAGUUUGAUCAUGGCUCAGAUUGAACGCUGGCGGCAGGCCUAACACAUGCAAGUCGAGCGGUAACAGGAAGCAGCUUGCUGCUUUGCUGACGAGUGGCGGACGGGUGAGUAAUGUCUGGGAAACUGCCUGAUGGAGGGGGAUAACUACUGGAAACGGUAGCUAAUACCGCAUAACGUCGCAAGACCAAAGAGGGGGACCUUCGGGCCUCUUGCCAUCGGAUGUGCCCAGAUGGGAUUAGCUAGUAGGUGGGGUAACGGCUCACCUAGGCGACGAUCCCUAGCUGGUCUGAGAGGAUGACCAGCCACACUGGAACUGAGACACGGUCCAGACUCCUACGGGAGGCAGCAGUGGGGAAUAUUGCACAAUGGGCGCAAGCCUGAUGCAGCCAUGCCGCGUGUAUGAAGAAGGCCUUCGGGUUGUAAAGUACUUUCAGCGGGGAGGAAGGGAGUAAAGUUAAUACCUUUGCUCAUUGACGUUACCCGCAGAAGAAGCACCGGCUAACUCCGUGCCAGCAGCCGCGGUAAUACGGAGGGUGCAAGCGUUAUCCGG
rnacentral:rRNA from 1 species